rnacentral:rRNA from 1 species
AGAGUUUGAUCAUGGCUCAGGACGAACGCUGGCGGCGUGCCUAAUACAUGCAAGUAGAACGCUGAAGAGAGGAGCUUGCUCUUCUUGGAUGAGUUGCGAACGGGUGAGUAACGCGUAGGUAACCUGCCUUGUAGCGGGGGAUAACUAUUGGAAACGAUAGCUAAUACCGCAUAACAAUGGAUGACACAUGUCAUUUAUUUGAAAGGGGCAAUUGCUCCACUACAAGAUGGACCUGCGUUGUAUUAGCUAGUAGGUGAGGUAAUGGCUCACCUAGGCGACGAUACAUAGCCGACCUGAGAGGGUGAUCGGCCACACUGGGACUGAGACACGGCCCAGACUCCUACGGGAGGCAGCAGUAGGGAAUCUUCGGCAAUGGGGGCAACCCUGACCGAGCAACGCCGCGUGAGUGAAGAAGGUUUUCGGAUCGUAAAGCUCUGUUGUAAGUCAAGAACGGGUGUGAGAGUGGAAAGUUCACACUGUGACGGUAGCUUACCAGAAAGGGACGGCUAACUACGUGCCAGCAGCCGCGGUAAUACGUAGGUCCCGAGCGUUGUCCGGAUUUAUUGGGCGUAAAGCGAGCGCAGGCGGUUUGAUAAGUCUGAAGUUAAAGGCUGUGGCUCAACCAUAGUUCGCUUUGGAAACUGUCAAACUUGAGUGCAGAAGGGGAGAGUGGAAUUCCAUGUGUAGCGGUGAAAUGCGUAGAUAUAUGGAGGAACACCGGUGGCGAAAGCGGCUCUCUGGUCUGUAACUGACGCUGAGGCUCGAAAGCGUGGGGAGCGAACAGGAUUAGAUACCCUGGUAGUCCACGCCGUAAACGAUGAGUGCUAGGUGUUGGAUCCUUUCCGGGAUUCAGUGCCGCAGCUAACGCAUUAAGCACUCCGCCUGGGGAGUACGACCGCAAGGUUGAAACUCAAAGGAAUUGACGGGGGCCCGCACAAGCGGUGGAGCAUGUGGUUUAAUUCGAAGCAACGCGAAGAACCUUACCAGGUCUUGACAUCCCGAUGCUAUUUCUAGAGAUAGAAAGUUACUUCGGUACAUCGGUGACAGGUGGUGCAUGGUUGUCGUCAGCUCGUGUCGUGAGAUGUUGGGUUAAGUCCCGCAACGAGCGCAACCCCUAUUGUUAGUUGCCAUCAUUCAGUUGGGCACUCUAGCGAGACUGCCGGUAAUAAACCGGAGGAAGGUGGGGAUGACGUCAAAUCAUCAUGCCCCUUAUGACCUGGGCUACACACGUGCUACAAUGGUUGGUACAACGGGUUGCGAGUCGGUGACGGCGAGCUAAUCUCUUAAAGCCAAUCUCAGUUCGGAUUGUAGGCUGCAACUCGCCUACAUGAAGUCGGAAUCGCUAGUAAUCGCGGAUCAGCACGCCGCGGUGAAUACGUUCCCGGGCCUUGUACACACCGCCCGUCACACCACGAGAGUUUGUAACACCCGAAGUCGGUGAGGUAACCUUUUGGAGCCAGCCGCCUAAGGUGGGACAGAUGAUUGGGGUGAAGUCGUAACAAGGUA